rnacentral:sRNA from 1 species
GAGAGCCGAACCUGAGACUGCCAGGAAUGGUGUCACAUUAAAAGUGCCUCAUUCUUUUGGGGCUGAUCAGGCCCCUGACUCGAUAUUUGCGGAGCUCAGGGAGAAUAUGCUGGACUGGCCACUAUCCGAGCCUACUUAAACCAGAAAGGAGAGGGACACAGAACGGUUUGCCUCAUUCCAAAGUCAGCACAUGGGACCAACCCAGCAAGUGCCCACAUGGCAGGCAUGAAGAUUCAGCCUGUGGAGGUGGAUAGAUAUGGGAAUAUCGAUGCAGUUCACCUCAAGGCCAUGGUGGAUAAGCACAAGGAGAACCUAGCAGCCAUCAUGAUUACAUACCCAUCCACCAAUGGGGUGUUUGAAGAAAACAUCAGUGACGUGUGUGACCUCAUCCAUCAACAUGGAGGACAGGUCUACCUAGACGGGGCAAAUAUGAACGCUCAGGUGGGAAUCUGUCGCCCUGGAGACUUUGGAUCUGAUGUCUCACACCUAAAUCUUCACAAGACCUUCUGCAUUCCCCAUGGAGGAGGUGGUCCUGGCAUGGGGCCCAUCGGAGUGAAGAAACAUCUUGCCCCGUUUUUGCCCAAUCAUCCCAUCAUUUCACUAAAGCGGAAUGAGGAUGCCUGUCCUGUGGGAACCGUCAGUGCAGCCCCAUGGGGCUCCAGUUCCAUCUUGCCUAUUUCCUGGGCUUAUAUCAAGAUGAUGGGAGGCAAGGGUCUUAAACAAGCCACGGAAACUGCGAUAUUAAAUGCCAAUUACAUGGCCAAGCGAUUAGAAAAACACUACAGAAUUCUUUUCAGGGGUGCAAGAGGUUAUGUGGGUCAUGAAUUUAUUUUGGACACGAGACCCUUCAAAAAGUCUGCAAAUAUUGAGGCUGUGGAUGUGGCCAAGAGACUCCAGGAUUAUGGAUUUCACGCCCCUACCAUGUCCUGGCCUGUGGCAGGGACCCUCAUGGUUGAGCCCACUGAGUCGGAGGACAAGGCAGAGCUGGACAGAUUCUGUGAUGCCAUGAUCAGCAUUCGGCAGGAAAUUGCUGACAUUGAGGAGGGCCGCAUCGACCCCAGGGUCAAUCCGCUGAAGAUGUCUCCACACUCCCUGACCUGCGUUACAUCUUCCUGCUGGGACCGGCCUUAUUCCAGAGAGGUGGCAGCAUUCCCACUCCCCUUCGUGAAACCAGAGAACAAAUUCUGGCCAACGAUUGCCCGGAUUGAUGACAUAUAUGGAGAUCAGCACCUGGUUUGUACCUGCCCACCCAUGGAAGUUUAUGAGUCUCCAUUUUCUGAACAAAAGAGGGCCUCUUCUUAGUCCUCUCUCCCUAAGUUUAGAGGACUGAUUUGAUGCCUCUCCCGAGAGCAUUUGAUAAGCAAGAAAGAUUUCAUCUCCCACCCCAGCCUCAAGUAGGAGUUUUAUGUACUGUGUAUAUCUCUGUAAUCUCUGUCAAGGUAAAUGUAAAUACAGUAGCUGGAGGGAGUUGAAGCUGAUGGGUGGAAGACGAAUUUGCUUUGGUAUUCUGCUUCUACGUGUGCCAGUUGCCUGGAUUGGGAGCCAUUUUGUGUUUUGCAUAGAAAGUUUUAGGAACUUUUUUUAAUGUGGCAAGUUUGCAGACGUUAUAGAGGCUAUCCCUGGAGACUUAAUAGACAUUUUUUUGUUCCAAAAGAGUCCAUGUGGACUGUGCCAUCUGUGGGAAAUCCCAGGGCAAAUGUUUACAUUUUGUAUACCCUGAAGAACUCUUUUUCCUCUAAUAUGCCUAAUCUGUAAUCAUAUUUCUGAGUGUUUUUCCUCUUUUUCUGUGUGAGGUUUUUUUUAUCUGCAUUUAUUACUAUUCUAAUAAAAGCAUUUUGAUUGGAA